UACAGAGGUCUCAAGCGUUGUUCGGAUUCAUUGGGCGUAAAGGGUGCGUAGGCGGCGCGGUAAGUCGGGUGUGAAAUCUCGGAGCUUAACUCCGAAACUGCAUUCGAUACUGCCGUGCUUGAGGACUGGAGAGGAGACUGGAAUUUACGGUGUAGCGGUGAAAUGCGUAGAUGUCGUAAGGAAGACCAGUGGCGAAGGCGGGUCUCUGGACAGUUCCUGACACUGAGGCACGAAGGCCAGGGGAGCAAACGGG
rnacentral:rRNA from 1 species